GUCACCCCUUCAUAAAAUCCUCUUCCGCGCUUAACUCAACAGUGUAUGAUGUACAGGUCAUAUUGUGUGGGCUACAAAAUGAUUAUGGCGUACAACCUAACGUUACUUGAUCCUGAUGAUGACUCGGCGAAAAUGGUUUACGAUCAGAUUAUGAAGAUCAAUCUGCUCAAUCCUGGGUGACAAUGGUGUACGWUCAGGUUAAAACCACCUUUAAGCUGACCUUGUUAAAGGAACCAGGACAUCCCCCACUCCUGUUGUCGGAUGGUUGGAACCUCUCGUCGGACUCAUCACUACAGUUGUAAGUUGUCUACUGCAGCUGGAACACUUUUAACCAUUGCCGAUACAAUGAUGACAGCAUAGUUCAGCAGAUUAACCAUGAAGAACACUCAGCAUUGUCUUUCGCUCCUAUCUGAUGUAUCAGCUAUUAUACUGAAAUAUAAAUUCAACAUGUAACAACUUCAAUGGUUUUACUGAGUUCAUAAAUCAGUCAAUUGAAAUAAAUCUAUGGCUUUCACAUAACUGGGCAGCGGUGCCAGGCCCAGCCAACCAGAAUGAGUUUAAUUUMACCUUUAUUUAGCCAGGUAGGCAAGUUCCCCACAAAGGCAUUAAUUGCUAGAAAUUCCCCAGUUUAAUCAGCUGUCUGGGUGGAGUGUCUCAGAAAUUUCACAAUUUCUGGCAACAGAUCUUGUGGACGUUCUURUAGUCAGCAUGCCAAUUGUACUAUCAUUCAAUGUCUGGCUUUGUGAAAACAGCACCGUUGCCUGUUAUUGUCCCCAGCACAAUGUGUACCUGUAUAAUGGUCGUGCUGUUUAUUGAUAUGCCACACCUGUAGAGUGGAUGGAGUAUCUUGGCAAAKAAAAUGCUCAUUAACAGGGAUGGAAAUGCAUUGUGCACAUUUUCAGUAGCAUUUUGUGYGCGUGGGAAAUUUCAGCUCAUGGGACCAACAGUUUACAUGUUGCAUUUAUAUUUUUGUUCAGUGUGUAUAUGAGAUUAUGAAGAUGGCUUCCCUCUGCUCUUCUUGACACCAUUUUUAUCUUUCAGGCAUGGAUAGUUGGCUGAUGCUGCCGUUUUAGGGUUACAUCGCAAAAUGAACAGCAAGGKUCCUAGAGGCUCAGGCCAGUUGUGUUUGCAAUAAAUGUCCUUGACGCCUCAAUAUCAACUGAGCAGGGUUUGGUCAUGAAGGUGCAAGAAAUUACCACGGGCCUGCAAUGUUCUUCACUAUUUGAUUGUGCUGUCAAAAUAUACUUAAAACUGUACAUGUAGUGUGAGCUAUAGAUUUGUCAAUAAAAAUACUCCAAGCAUUGGUGUUUCACUUGC